rnacentral:rRNA from 1 species
CACUUGGGGAUAACCUCCGGAGACGGUGGCUGAUACCCGAUACGACCAUUCCAGGCAUCUGGUGCUGUUGGUAAGUUUUUUCGGUGGGGGAUGUGCUCGCGGCCUAUCAGCUUGUUGGUGGGGUAAUGGCCUACCAAGGCUUCGACGGGUAGCCGGCCUGAGAGGGUGACCGGCCACACUGGGACUGAGACACGGCCCAGACUCCUACGGGAGGCAGCAGUGGGGAAUAUUGGACAAUGGUCGGAAGCCUGAUCCAGCAACGCCGCGUGAGGGAUGACGGCCUUCGGGUUGUAAACCUCUUUCACCGAUGACGAAGCGCAAGUGACGGUAGUCGGAGAAGAAGCACCGGCCAACUACGUGCCAGCAGCCGCGGUAAUACGUAGGGUGCGAGCGUUGUCCGGAAUUAUUGGGCGUAAAGGGCUCGUAGUCGGUUUGUCGCGUCGGGAGUGAAAACACGGGGCUUAACUCCGUGCUUGCUUUCGAUACGGGCAGACUAGAGGUAUGCAGGGGAGAACGGAAUUCCUGGUGUAGCGGUGAAAUGCGCAGAUAUCAGGAGGAACACUCGGUGGCGAAGGCGGUUCUCUGGGCAGUGACCCUGACGCUGAGGAGCGAAAAUGUCGGGGAGCGAACAGG